rnacentral:rRNA from 1 species
CACGUAGGAUCCAAGCGUUAUCCGAAUUUACUGGGCGUAAAGCGCGUGUAGGCGGUUCGGUAAGUUGGGCGUGAAAGCUCCCGGCUCAACUGGGAGAGGUCGUCCAAAACUGCCGGGCUAGAGGACGGUAGAGGAAGGUGGAAUUCCCGGUGUAGUGGUGAAAUGCGUAGAUAUCGGGAGGAACACCAGUGGCGAAGGCGGCCUUCUGGGCCGUACCUGACGCUCAGACGCGAAAGCUAGGGGAGCGAACGGGAUUAGAUACCCCGGUAGUCCUAGCUGUAAACGAUGUGAACUUGGCGUUGGUGGGGUAAAAGCCAUCAGUGCCGUAGCAAACGCGAUAAGUUCACCGCCUGGGGAUUACGGUCGCAAGGCUAAA